UACGUAGGGGGCGAGCGUUGUCCGAAGUUACUGGGCGUAAAGCGCGCGUAGGCGGUCCUUUAAGUCUGGUGUGAAAGGUUCACGGCUCAACCGGAACAGUGCACUGGAGACUGGGGGACUUGAGUUAGGGAGAGGGGAGCGGAAUUCCUGGUGUAGCGGUGAAAUGCGUAGAUAUCAGGAGGAACACCGAUGCGAAGGCAGCUUCCUGGCCUAUAACUGACGCUGAGGUGCGAAAAGCGUGGGGAGCGAACAGG
rnacentral:rRNA from 1 species